rnacentral:rRNA from 1 species
AUUGAACGCUGGCGGCAUGCCUUACACAUGCAAGUCGAACGGUAACAGGUCUUCGGAUGCUGACGAGUGGCGAACGGGUGAGUAAUACAUCGGAACGUGCCCGAUCGUGGGGGAUAACGAAGCGAAAGCUUUGCUAAUACCGCAUAAGAUCUACGGAUGAAAGCAGGGGACCGCAAGGCCUUGCGCGAACGGAGCGGCCGAUGGCAGAUUAGGUAGUUGGUGGGAUAAAAGUUUACCAAGCCGACGAUCUGUAGCUGGUCUGAGAGGACGACCAGCCACACUGGGACUGAGACACGGCCCAGACUCCUACGGGAGGCAGCAGUGGGGAAUUUUAGGCAAUGGGCGAAAGCCUGAUCCAGCCAUGCCGCGUGCGGGAUGAAGGCCUUCGGGUUGUAAACUGCUUUUGUACGGGACGAAAAGACUCUGGUUAAUACCUGGGGUCCAUGACGGUACCGUAAGAAUAAGCACCGGCUAACUACGUG